CCUACGGGAGGCUGCAGUGAGGAAUAUUGGUCAAUGGACGCAAGUCUGAACCAGCCAUGCCGCGUGCAGGAAGACGGCUCUAUGAGUUUUAAAUUGCUUUUGUACGAGGGUAAACGCAGAUACGUGUAUCUGUCUGAAAGUAUCGUACGAAUAAGGCACGGCCAACUCCGUGUCAGCAGCCGCGGUAAUACGGAGGAUUCGAGCGUUAUGCGGAUUUAUUGGGGUUAAAGGGUGCGUAGGCGGUUUGAUAAGUUAGAGGUGAAAUCCCGAGGCUCAACUUCAGAAUUGCAUCUGAUACUGGUCGUCUAGAGAAUAGUAGUGGUAGGCGGAAUGUGUGGUGUAGCGGUGAAAUGCUUAGAGAUCAUGAAGAACACCGAUUGCGAAGGCAGCUUACCAGGCUACUACUGACGUUGAGGCACGAAAGCGUGGGUAGCAAACAGGAUUAGAUACCCGGGUAGUC
rnacentral:rRNA from 1 species